rnacentral:rRNA from 1 species
AGCAGCCGCGGUAAUUCCAGCUCCAAUAGCGUAUAUUAAAGUUGUUGCAGUUAAAAAGCUCGUAGUUGAAUUUCGGGAUCAGUAGGUCGGUCAUGCCUCAGGUAUGUACUGGUCUCACUGGUUCCUCCUUCCUGAUGAACCGUAAUGCCAUUAAUUUGGUGUUGCGGGGAAACUGGACUGUUACUUUGAAAAAUUAGAGUGUUUAAAGCAGGCUAACGCUUGAAUACAUUAGCAUGGAAUAAUGAAAUAGGACGUUCGAUCCUAUUUUGUUGGUUUCUAGGAUUGACGUAAUGAUUAAUAGGGAUAGUUGGGGGCAUUAGUAUUCAAUUGUCAGAGGUGAAAUUCUUGGAUUUAUUGAAGACUAACUACUGCGAAAGCAUUUGCCAAGGAUGUUUUCAUUAAUCAAGAACGAUAGUUAGGGAUCGAAGACGAUCAGAUACCGUCGUAGUC